rnacentral:rRNA from 1 species
GAUGAACGCUAGCUACAGGCUUAACACAUGCAAGUCGAGGGGCAGCGCAGUGUAGCAAUACACGGGCGGCGACCGGCGCACGGGUGCGUAACGCGUAUCCAACCUUCCCGUUACUCUCGGAUAGCCUUCCGAAAGGGAGAUUAAUACGAGAUGGUGUUGAAAUUCCGCAUGUUAUUUCAACUAAAGAUUCAUCGGUAACGGAUGGGGAUGCGUGACAUUAGGUAGAUGGCGGGGUAACGGCCCACCAUGCCCACGAUGUCUAGGGGUUCUGAGAGGAAGGUCCCCCACACUGGAACUGAGACACGGUCCAGACUCCUACGGGAGGCAGCAGUGAGGAAUAUUGGUCAAUGGCCGGAAGGCUGAACCAGCCAAGUAGCGUGAAGGUCACGGCCCUAUGGGUCUUAAACUUCUUUUGUAAGGGAGCAAUAAGGUCUACGUGUAGACUGAUGAGAGUACCUUACGAAUAAGCAUCGGCUAACUCCGUGCCAGCAGCCGCGGU